rnacentral:siRNA from 1 species
AUGUUUCUGAGCUGCCCAGUCC